UAGUGAAUUCGGCCCAACCCAAUUCUAAUUCGGGUCAGGCCCAAUGCCCACGAAAUUAAAUUUGAUUUUUUGUAACUAUUCCUUCAUACUUUAGACCAACAUAAUUCUGGAAAUUUCCAGAGAGAGAGAGAAAGGGAGUUCUUGAGAGAAAUCCCAAAUCCGACCAAAAUUCAAGUCCCGAAAUCCGAAGCUCAUGAAGAGAAAAUUGUUGUACGUCGCGUUGACUUCAAUUUGAGCUAGAAAUUAGCCAAUAAGGAGAAGAUUUUAUGUGGUGCUGCAAAUUUAAGGUUGAGACAAUAUUGGACAACAUAUACGUAUAAACGCUAAAGGUACAGAUACUCAUUUUGGAGAGCCGCCACCUUAGGAUUCUACUCAACGGGUUGAAGUGCUCCAUUGUCUCGGAGCCUAAACUUUUGGUACUAAUCCUUAUAAUGUAUAUAUUUGUGUAUUUUGGGGGUACGGCGGGGCCCUGUCUCGUCAUAUGCUAUUGUUAAUCCUCUUAGAGGUCUGUAGACACAUGAGUGGGUUGUAUGUAGAUGUUGUCUGGUGUACUAGUAUGGCUUAUGUUUUUGGACAUUUACAUUCGGAGUGAAAGCCUUGUCGGCUUACGUAUUAUGUUAUCUUAUUUUUGACAAUUAAGACUCCCCAAAAAAUAGCUGAUUUUG